rnacentral:misc_RNA from 1 species
AAGGCUUGACAUGCAGGGAAAUCUUCCAGAGAUGGGAGGUCCGCAAGGGUCCUGCACAGGUGGUGCAUGGUUGUCGUCAGCUCGUGUCGUGAGAUGUUGGGUUAAGUCCCGCAACGAGCGCAACCCUCGUUCUAUGUUGCCAGCGGGUUAUGCCGGGGACUCAUAGGAGACUGCCGGGGUCAACUCGGAGGAAGGUGGGGAUGACGUGCCAGUAUCGGAA